CUCGUCAUUAUGCUGGUACCAGAUAUUUGAAAAGAGGUGUAAAUGAGAAGGGUCGCGUAGCAAAUGAUGUAGAAACAGAACAAAUUGUGCUUGAAGAUGUGCCUGCUGGGUGCCCGCUCCAAAUAAGUGCUGUUGUGCAAAAUCGGGGUUCAAUACCUCUUUUUUGGUCUCAAGAGACGUCACGUUUGAAUAUUAAGCCUGACAUCAUACUCUCUAGGAAGGACUUGAAUUUUGAAGCCACCAAACGUCACUUUGAGAAUCUUGUGAAGAGAUAUGGAAAUCCAAUUAUAAUAUUGAAUUUGAUUAAGACUCGUGAGAAGCGGCCAAGAGAAACUAUUCUUCGUGCAGCAUUUGCUAAUGCUAUUGAGUUUAUAAAUAAAGAUCUUUCUGAGGAAAACCACUUGAGAUUUCUUCAUUGGGACCUAAAUAAACACUCAAGAAGCAAAGCAACAAAUGUCCUGACACUUCUGGGCAAAGUCGCUGCUAAUGCAUUGGAGUUAACAGGCUUCCUUCACUGUCAACUUAUUCCUGCCUCAAAGACUGGGAAAUUGCUAAAAUUAUCGCCCAUUGACAAUACUGAAGAUCAAGCUGGAGAAGACCCUUGUGAAGAGAGAACUGAACCGAAUUCCCCUAGUGGAGAUUACCAUGUCAACCUUUCAACACUACAGAGAGGGGUAUUACGAACUAAUUGCCCCCCCCCCCUAGGGUGUAUAGGGGGUUGUUG
rnacentral:misc_RNA from 1 species